rnacentral:lncRNA from 1 species
GGUUUUUGUAUAUAUCCAUUCAACAAUAGCUAAAAGUAGCUCUAGUUUUUAAUACAAACUAUUUUCUUAACAGAUUUGCUGCAGUCUGUUUUCCCUGCUAUCUGUCUUUAAGGUGCACAAGUCUUAUAUGAUAGGCAAAUGACCAAUUAGAUCAUGAACAAUUUAACCAGUGAAACAGCAGCUAUGCUUGAGUAGCUCAAGAUGUGUCUCAGUGUUCUAAACUACAACAAAUCUGGGCUUUGUUGAGUUAGUGGGGGAAGAGAAUUCCAAAGAUUCCAGCCACUUUUCAUUUUUUAGAGAUAAAAUGCCUUAUGUACUAAAAUCAUGAUUUAAUGUAAUAGCAGUUGUGACUUAAAUCUCUUGCCAGCAUUUCAGCCAAAACAUUUAAGUAUACAAACAUGCAAUAUAUCUGUGAUGUUUUAAAAUAUUGUGGUUUUAAAAUUUUGUCUUUAUCUACUUGUAUGUAAACUUGUCAUUUUCAAUAUUUCUAAAAUAAAAUGUGAGAAAGAAUUUACUGUAUUAAA